UCAACUGUCGACUGUGGCAUAGACGCCCACAGUGGUUUUGACGGGUAACGGGGAAUCAGGGUUCGAUUCCGGAGAGGGAGCCUUAAAAACGGCUACCACAUCUAAGGAAGGCAGCAGGCACGCAAAUUACCCAAUGAUCGAAGAUCGAGGUAGUGACGAAAAAUAACGAUCCAGGACUCAUCCGAGGCCCUGGAAUCGGAAUGAGUACACUUUAAAACCGUCCCCGAGGAUCUAUUGGAGGGCAAGUCUGGUGCCAGCAGCCGCGGUAAUUCCAGCUCCAAUAGCGUAUAUUAAAGUUGUUGUGGUUAAAAAGCUCGUAAUUGGAUCUCGGCGGACUGAGGGCGGUUUGCUUGCUAGUAUUACUGCCCUAUAGUCCGUAGUUUUGCCAGAGGUUUCGGGGUGCUCUUAAUCGAGUGUCCCGGGAUGCUGGCAGGUUUACUUUGAAAAAAUUAGAGUGCUCAAAGCAGGCUAUUACGCCUGAAUAUUCGUGCAUGGAAUAAUAGAAUAGGAAGUCGUUUCUAUUUUGUUGGUUUUCGGAAAUCGACUUAAUGAUUAAUAGGGACAGUCGGGGGCAUUUGUAUUCAAACGACAGAGGUGAAAUUCUUGGACUGUUUGAAGACAAACUACUGCGAAAGCAUUUGCCAAGAAUGUUUUCAUUAAUCAAGAACGAAAGUUAAAGGUUCGAAGGCGAUUAGAUACCGCCCUAGUUUUAACCAUAAACGAUGCCAGCUAGCGAUCUGCGGACGUUUUUUUUGUAGACUCCGCAGGAAGCUUCCGGGAAACCAAAGCAUUUGGGUUCCAGGGGAAGUAUGGUUGCAAAGCUGAAACUUAAAGGAAUUGACGGAAGGGCACCACCAGGAGUGGAGCCUGUGGCUUAAUUUGACUCAACACGGGAAAUCUCACCAGGCCCGGACACUGGAAGGAUUGACAGAUUGAUAGCUCUUUCUUGAUUCGGUGGGUGGUGGUGCAUGCCCGUUCUU
rnacentral:rRNA from 1 species